GGCUCUAUAGCUCAGUGGUUAGAGUGCUGGUCUUGUAAACCAGAGGUCGUGAGUUCAAUCCUCGCUGGAGCCU
rfam:Astyanax mexicanus Tnplaced_Scaffold_283, whole genome shotgun sequence.